UACGUAGGGUCCGAGCGUUGUCCGGAAUUAUUGGGCGUAAAGAGCUCGUAGGCGGUUUGUCGCGUCUGCUGUGAAAUCCCGAGGCUCAACCUCGGGCCUGCAGUGGGUACGGGCAGACUGGAGUACUGCAGGGGAGACUGGAAUUCCUGGUGUAGCGGUGGAAUGCGCAGAUAUCAGGAGGAACACCGGUGGGCGAAGGCGGGUCUCUGGGCAGUAACUGAC
rnacentral:rRNA from 1 species